rnacentral:rRNA from 1 species
AUUGAACGCUGGCGGCAUGCCUUACACAUGCAAGUCGAACGGUAACGGGCCUUCGGGUGCCGACGAGUGGCGAACGGGUGAGUAAUACAUCGGAACGUGCCCGAUCGUGGGGGAUAACGAGGCGAAAGCUUUGCUAAUACCGCAUACGAUCUACGGAUGAAAGCAGGGGACCGCAAGGCCUUGCGCGGACGGAGCGGCCGAUGGCAGAUGAGGUAGUUGGUGGGAUAAAAGCUUACCAAGCCGACGAUCUGUAGCUGGUCUGAGAGGAUGAUCAGCCACACUGGGAAUGAGACACGGCCCAGACUCCUACGGGAGGCAGCAGUGGGGAAUUUUGGACAAUGGGCGCAAGCCUGAUCCAGCCAUGCCGCGUGCAGGAUGAAGGCCUUCGGGUUGUAAACUGCUUUUGUACGGAACGAAAAGCCUUCUUUUAAUACAGGAGGGUCAUGACGGUACCGUAAGAAUAAGCACCGGCUAACUACGUG